rnacentral:rRNA from 1 species
GACGGGGGGGGCAAGUGUUCUUCGGAAUGACUGGGCGUAAAGGGCGCGUAGGCGGCCUUCUAAGUCGAACGUGAAAUCCCCGGGCUCAACCCGGGAACUGCGUCCGAUACUGGAAGGCUUGAAUCCGGGAGAGGGAUGUGGAAUUCCAGGUGUAGCGGUGAAAUGCGUAGAUAUCUGGAGGAACACCGGUGGCGAAGGCGACAUCCUGGACCGGUAUUGACGCUGAGGCGCGAAAGCCAGGGGAGCAAACGGG